rnacentral:lncRNA from 1 species
GCUAAAUGCAUAUUACCACAUCAUUUCAGGGUAAACCAACAAGAGCUCUCAGAGGAGUCCUCGGCAUCAACAGCAACAACAAAAAGGCCAUAGCGCUCUUAAAGAAUGUGCUUCUGAGAAGUUCUUCAUAUUUAUAAUGUUCUGUGACUCAACAGCAUCACACAGAUAAAGCCCAGAGGAAAUGUUGCUGCUAAUAAAUUAUUAAGCUGCUCUCCUUUAAAACAUCAGGACUGGGCAGUACAAAGACUUGCCAUGAUCUGUCAAAUGCAAACGGAUCUGUAAAUCUCAAAAAGAAGAAUUAUUUGAGCUAAGGAACAGCUGGCCCUGAAGAGCCCACGGUCCACCUGGGAUCUCCUUACUGCAGCCUGUCACUCUUAAAGAGUUUAAUGCUAAUACAAUCAAUGAAACAUGAAACCAGACUGAGGGAGGGGGCAAUGGACACCCUCAGAGGAUCCAUCUUUUACUUCACAAAAUGACCCUUGAAGAGUCAUCUACUGAAAAGCAGCUUUGAAACUACAGCUUUGUGCUUGCCCAGAAAGAACUUAAUUGAUACUGGUGACUGUUUAUAAUAUAAUCUACAGUUAAACACUUUUCUCCUUUGUCAUAUUCCUGUUAGAUAGAUACAUUUCAGAUUUCUUUGUGCCAUAUCCACUGAG